CAAGUGCUAAUAACUUAACUGGUAAAGAUUUCUGGCAAAAGCUCAGAGGUCGCCGGUUCGAGUAGCGCUUGGGACGAAACCAUAUAACAUGCUCUGGUUUCAGGGAUGUAUGGGAUUCGGUCCAGAACCUCUUUGAUUAUUCAAAAAAUAUAACACGCGUAAUAGCAUAAUGCGUUAUCUGAUGCGAUUAUGUAGAAAGUUUAUCAGUUAAAAGAAUUACAUAAUCCCAUUAAAAACGUA
rnacentral:lncRNA from 1 species